GGUAAUUCCAGCUCCAAUAGCGUAUAUUAAAAUUGUUGCAGUUAAAAAGCUCGUAGUUGAAUUUCUGCUGCAUUGCUUGUGUCCCUCUGGGGUCUGUGCAUGUGGCUUUUUUCGGACGGAGUUUCUUUGUCUGAAUGUUUACUUUGAGAAAAUUAGAGUGCUCAAAGCAGGCUUUCGCCUUGAAUAGUUUAGCAUGGAAUAAUAAAGUAGGACUUUGGUUCUAUUUUGUUGGUUUUAGGUACCAAAGUAAUGGUUAAUAGGAACAGUUGGGGGCAUUCGUAUUUAACUGUCAGAGGUGAAAUUCUUAGAUUUGUUAAAGACGAACUACUGCGAAAGCAUUUGCCAAGGAUGUUUUCAUUAAUCAAGAACGAAAGUUAGGGGAUCGAAGACGAUCAGAUAACGUCGUAGUCCUAACCAUAAACUAUGCCGACUAGAGAUUGGAGGUCGUCAGUUUUUACGACUCCUUCA
rnacentral:rRNA from 1 species